rnacentral:rRNA from 1 species
CGUUAGCGGCGCGCCUAACACAUGCAAGUCGCACGAGAAAGGGCUUCGGCCCCGGUACAGUGGCGCACGGGUGAGUAACACGUGGGUAAUCUGCCUUCGAGCGGGGGAUAACAUUCCGAAAGGAGUGCUAAUACCGCAUAAGACCACGCCCUCGAAAGAGGAAGCGGUCAAAGCUGGCCUCUAUACAUAAGCUAGCACUCGAAAAUGAGCCCNCGGAGCAUCAGCUAGUUGGUGAGGUAAUGGCUCACCAAGGCUUAGACGCUUAGCUGGUCUGAGAGGAUGAUCAGCCACACUGGAACUGAGACACGGUCCAGACUCCUACGGGAGGCAGCAGUGGGGAAUCUUGCGCAAUGGGCGAAAGCCUGACGCAGCGACGCCGCGUGAGUGAUGAAGGCCUUCGGGUUGUAAAGCUCUGUGGGGAGAGAAGAAUAAGUGCGGGCUAAUACUCCGCAUGAUGACGGUAUCUCCUUAGCAAGCACCGGCUAACUCUGUGCCAGCAGCCGCGGUAAGACAGAGGGUGCAAACGUUGUUCGGAAUUACUGGGCGUAAAGCGAGUGUAGGCGGUUUGAUAAGUCGGAUGUGAAAGCCCC